AGUGUCUGGGGUUUCCUCUGCCUUUUUUUCCAAUGAAAAUAACGAAAACUGUUAUUUCCCAUUGAGGGGGAAAAAGGCGGGAGAAGCCCCAGCAGAAAUGAAGCUGCUCC